rnacentral:rRNA from 1 species
CCUACGGGAGGCAGCAGUGAGGAAUAUUGGUCAAUGGGCGAGAGCCUGAACCAGCCAAGUCGCGUGAGGGAGUACUGCCCUAUGGGUUGUAAACCUCUUUUGUCGGGGAGCAAAAGCCGGACGUUUCCGGCUGUGAGAGUACCCGAAGAAAAAGCAUCGGCUAAAUCCGUGCCAGCAGCCGCGUUAAUACGGAGGAUGCGAGCGUUAUCCGGAUUUAUUGGGGUAAAAGGGUGCGCAGGCGGAUUGUUAAGUCAGCGGUAAAAUCGGGGGGCUCAACCCCAUCCAGCCGUUGAAACUGGGGAUCUAGAGUGUGCGAGAGGUAUGCGGAAUGCGUGGUGUAGCGGUGAAAUGCAUAGAUAUCACGCAGAACCCCGAUGGCGAAGGCAGCAUACCGGUGCACAACUGACGUUCAGGCACGAAAGCGUGGGUAUCGAACAGGAUUAGAUACCCGGGUAGUC